rnacentral:lncRNA from 1 species
GGAAUUUCAAACCUCUCAGCUAUUGAGAGUCAGUGCUCAUAGCUUGGUAUUAAUACUCAUCCACUCCAGGCCUAGCUAUUCAAAACAGCCUGGCCUCAGAGAUCCACUUUUCCUAUGUGAUAGUUGCACACAGGGUGAGCUUGAUCUGUCUUUUGCUCUUCCAGAUCCAGACCUAUUUCCUGACUCUGCAUAAGGAUGUAUGCAUGAAAUUAUCAGAAGCAGUCAGAAGGAAAACUCCCUGCUGUUCCUGACCUG